rnacentral:rRNA from 1 species
UUCGCAAUGCCCGAAAGGGUGACGAAGCGACGCCGCGUGGGUGAGGAAGGCCUUCGGGUUGUAAAGCCCUGUCAGGAGUUAAGGAAUAUAAGUGCGCUAAUAUCGCAUUUAUUUGACGAAGGCUCCAAAGGAAGCCACGGCUAACUCUGUGCCAGCAGCCGCGGUAAUACAGAGGUGGCAAGCGUUGUUCGGAAUUAUUGGGCGUAAAGAGCACGUAGGUGGGUUUGUAAGUCAGAUGUGAAAGCCUUCUGUUCAACGGAAGAAUUGCAUCUGAAACUACAAGUCUUGAGUGUAGGAGGGGAGAAUGGAACUUCUGGUGGAGCGGUGAAAUGCGUAGAUAUCAGAAGGAACGCCGGCGGCGAAAGCGAUUCUCUGGUCUAUUACUGACACUCAGUGUGCGAAAGCUAGGGGAGCAAACGGGAUUAGAUACCCCGGUAGUCCUAGCUGUAAACGAUGGGCACUAAGUAGAGGGGUUUU